ACAAGCGGAGGAACAUGUGGUUAAUUCGAUGAUACGCGAGGUAACCUUACCUGGGCUUAAAUGUAGAGUGCAUUUUUAGAGAUAGAAAGUUCCCUUCGGGGCUUUCUGCAAGGUGCUGCAUGGUUGUCGUCAGCUCGUGCCGUGAGGUGUCGGGUUAAGUCCCAUAACGAGCGCAACCCUUAUCGUUAGUUGCCAUCUGGUAAUGCAGGGGACUCUAGCGAAACUGCCACCGUAAGGUGAGAGGAAGGUGGGGAUGACGUCAAAUCAGCACGGCCCUUAUGUCCAGGGCUACACACGUGUUACAAUGGUCGGUACAGAGGGCAGCUACCUGGUGACAGGAUGCUAAUCUCGAAAACCGGUCUCAGUUCGGAUCGAAGUCUGCAACUCGACUUCGUGAAGCUGGAUUCGCUAGUAAUCGCGGAUCAGCAUGCCGCGGUGAAUACGUUCCCGGGCCUU
rnacentral:rRNA from 1 species